rnacentral:rRNA from 1 species
AGUGAACGCUGGCGGUAGGCCUAACACAUGCAAGUCGAACGGCAGCACAGUAAGAGCUUGCUCUUACGGGUGGCGAGUGGCGGACGGGUGAGGAAUACACCGGAAUCUACUUUUUCGUGGGGGAUAACGUAGGGAAACUUACGCUAAUACCGCAUACGACCUUCGGGUGAAAGCAGGGGAUCUUCGGACCUUGCGCGUUUGAAUGAGCCGAUGUCGGAUUAGCUAGUUGGCGGGGUAAAGGCCCACCAAGGCGACGAUCCGUAGCUGGUCUGAGAGGAUGAUCAGCCACACUGGAACUGAGACACGGUCCAGGCUCCUGCGGGAGGCAGCAGUGGGGAAUAUUGGACAAUGGGCGCAAGCCUGAUCCAGCCAUACCGCGUGGGUGAAGAAAGCCUUCGGGUUGUAAAGCCCUUUUUUUGGGAAAGAAAAGCGGCAGGUUAAUACCCCGCUGUUCUGACGGUACCCAAAGAAUAAGCACCGGCUAACUUCGUG